CCCUUAGAUGUCCGGGGCUGCACGCGCGCUACACUGUAGAAAGCAGCGUGCUUUAAAACCUUUCCUGAAAAGGAUGGGUAACCCCAGCAAAAUUCUACGUGCUUGGGAUAGAGAUUUGCAAUUUUCUCUCUUGAACGAGGAAUUCCCAGUAAGUGCGAGUCAUCAGCUCGCGUUGAUUACGUCCCUGCCCUUUGUACACACCGCCCGUCGCUACUACCGAUUGGGAAAAUUUUAGAGAGUCCUGGACUGGUGAUUGUUCGGCUUCACGGCCUUACUUUCGUCGGGAAAGAAUUCGAUAAUAGUUGUCUAGAGGAAGUAAAAGUCGUAACA
rnacentral:rRNA from 1 species